CACAAUAAUCCCUCAACUUUUGAUAUAAAUCCCAUCGCAUGCUCUUCUUCUCCAGUCUUUAUAUGCACCAAAACUCUUCUCUUCUUUCUCUAGAUGACCUAGCAACCUACAUUUCAUCUCUCCUCACACUUUGAUUUUUUCUUCUUUCUUCUUCUUCUCCUAAUGAUUUUACAUAGGAAACAUUGCAUGUGCAAGGAUCCAUUCAAAAUUGUUAAGUUCCUCUCUUUUACUUUUCUCUUUUUCUUGUAGCAGCUGAGUAUAGCUGUCAUAGUACUCGACCCGUUUGUUCUUAGAUUCAUGUUUUGCAGGUCCUCACAAUCGUUUUGAGAGGGCCGGAGUUGACCUAGUCCUUCCAGAAAGAGAUUUAAUCAAGUUGAUCGAUCACAAGGGAAAAAGUGAAGCUGCCAGCAUGAUCUAGCUUUGGUUAUUAUGUAGAUCGAUAUCGAAUACGCUAAUAACGCUAGCUAGGUCAUGCUCUGACAGCCUCACUCCUUCCUAUU
rnacentral:lncRNA from 1 species